GAGAAAAGGGAGGGGGCACCUGGGGCCCUGGGGGAGCAGCCUUUUGCAGGCCUUGCCUGGGAUCGCUAGCUUGGACAGGGGUGAGGGAGGGGGCCUGCAAGAGGAGGGGCUCUCGGGCAGGGCUCACAGGCAAGACUCUGCCCAGGCUGGGCCCUGGCUCUGCUCACCUGUGUGCUACAUCUCCUGGGGUCCCCCAGAACCUGGUUAGAGCCCCGCAGGCCCAGGGAUAAUCACCCUAGCCCCAGGGCCCAGCUCCGUGCCCACGAUCCCUGGCCCUGGCAUCUGGACCUACUUGGAGCAUCUUUGGGUCUCAUCUCUGUUAAAUGCUCGAGCAACUGCAGCCUGUCUACCACUCAAGCUCCACUUUCCAGGGACAAAACUCUGUGGAAAAGAACCAGUGAGGAAUAAAAGAGCAGUCAAGAUGGCAACAAGGCAGUUACACAAGAACAAAGUCAUCAACCAAAGUAAGACUGAGCAGUAAGCUUAUGUUGUUAAUUAGCACAAGACUAUUAGCAAUGGGAAACCAGGACCAAGUCACAAUCACACUGAAAACGAAGAGUCCUUCCCAGAAAUUGUGGAAAUUCCAACAAUCUGCAUGAGUGCAUGUGCUAGAAGUUUUGUAAAUUGUCAAGCAAAUUGUGACAGUCAGAUUUCUCAGAAUUCAGUAAAUUCCUCUCAGAGGACAUGUUCUUUGUUUAGGAAAAUUCUGGAGUGACCUCUGAACAUUGAAAGAGGGGCUCUCUCUAAGACAUGGCCUGAGGGGAUUAAAAAACCUGAAUUUCUCUCUAAAAUAAAAGCAGAGAGUUUGAAUUUGGGGGGAAAUGGGAGGCUGUGCUAGAAAAAUGAAGGUCAUGUCAGGUGGCCCAAAACAGAGGACUCAGUAACACACUGACUGUGGCGAGGAGGCAUAGACAGCCACCGAGAAACUGAGACUCUGGGAAGCAAGAGGUAAUGGAUGUCUGCAUCUCAGUUUUGAGCUGUUUGCUCUGAAGUAAUGUAAUCCUUCUCUGUUGCCUCUACCAGUCUGCCACACAUUACCGCCCCAACUCAGGUGUGUCUACGAUGCAGCAAAUGGGAUAGAAGCAUCCCGUAGGUCCAUAAUUCUCAGUAACACUCUCUCCAAAACCCUCAACUUGAGGGCUGGAUUUAUUCUCCUAUUGGAAACAACCAAAAA